rnacentral:rRNA from 1 species
GGCAGCCGCGGUAAUUCCAGCUCCAAUAGCGUAUAUUAAAGUUGUUGCAGUUAAAAAGCUCGUAGUUGAAUUUCGGGGUCGGUAGGUUGGUCAUGCCUCUGGUAUGCACUGGUCUCACUGAUUCCUCCUUCCUGAUGAGCCGUAAUGCCAUUAAUUUGGUGUUGCGAGGAAUCUGGACUGUUACUUUGAAAAAUUAGAGUGUUUAAAGCAAGCUGACGCUUGAAUACAUUAGCAUGGAAUAAUGGAAUAGGACGUUCGAUCCUAUUUUGUUGGUUUCUAGGAUUGACGUAAUGAUUAAUAGGGAUAGUUGGGGGCAUUAGUAUUCAAUUGUCAGAGGUGAAAUUCUUGGAUUUAUUGAAGACUAACUACUGCGAAAGCAUUUGCCAAGGAUGUUUUCAUUAAUCAAGAACGAAAGUUAGGGGAUCGAAGACGAUCAGAUACCGUCGUAGUCUUAACCAUAAACUAUGACCGACUAGGGAUCGGAUGAUGUUAAUUUUUAAUGUACUCAUUC